GAUGAACGCUGGCGGCGUGCUUAACACAUGCAAGUCGAACGAAGAUGCCGGAGUGCUUGCACUUUGGCAGACUGAGUGGCGGACGGGUGAGUAACGCGUGGGUAACCUGCCUUAUACAGGGGGAUAACAGUUGGAAACGACUGCUAAUACCGCAUAAGCGCACGGUAUCGCAUGAUACAGUGUGAAAAACUCCGGUGGUAUAAGAUGGACCCGCGUCUGAUUAGCUUGUUGGUGAGGUAACGGCCCACCAAGGCGACGAUCAGUAGCCGGCCUGAGAGGGUGAACGGCCACAUUGGGACUGAGACACGGCCCAAACUCCUACGGGAGGCAGCAGUGGGAAUAUUGCACAAUGGGGAACCUGAUGCAGCGACGCCGCGUGAGUGAUGAAGUAUUUCGGUAUGUAAAACUCUAUCAGCAGGGAAGAUAAAUGACGGUACCUGACUAAGAAGCAACCGGCU
rnacentral:rRNA from 1 species